rnacentral:rRNA from 1 species
GACGGAGGAUGCAAGUGUUAUCCGGAAUCACUGGGCGUAAAGCGUCUGUAGGUGGUUUAAUAAGUCAACUGUUAAAUCUUGAGGCUCAACUUCAAAAUCGCAGUCGAAACUAUUAGACUAGAAUAUAGUAGGGGUAAAGGGAAUUUCCAGUGGAGCGGUGAAAUGCGUAGAGAUUGGAAAGAACACCAAAGGCGAAGGCAGUGUCCUGGGGAGUACCUGACGCUCAGGUGCGAAAGCCAGGGGAGCGAACGGG